rnacentral:rRNA from 1 species
UACGUAGGUGACAAGCGUUGUCCGGAUUUACUGGGCGUAAAGAGCGCGCAGGCGGUCGAUCAAGUCGAGUGUGAAAGCCCCCGGCUCAACUGGGGAGGGUCAUUCGAUACUGAUCGACUCGAAGGCAGGAGAGGGUAGUGGAAUUCCCGGUGUAGUGGUGAAAUGCGUAGAUAUCGGGAGGAACACCAGUGGCGAAGGCGACUACCUGCCUGUUCUUGACGCUGAGGCGCGAAAGCUAGGGGAGCAAACGGGG